CCCAGUUGUUGUGGAGCACAUCACCAGUACCGGCUUACCUACCUUCACACUUAUUUGAGGAGAAGGAAAGUAAGCUUGUAUCUUUUUAGACACUGUUAUUUGGAUUUUUGUUCAGCGCAAAACCAAGUCUGUUGCAAAAAAUAUAUGUCCCAUAUCUGAAAUAGCUCCACCUUGCCUCUUUUUUUUAAAGAUUUAUUUAUUUAUUUAUUUAUUUAUUUAUUUAUUUAUGAUAGGCAUAGAGAGAGAAAGAGAGGCAGAGACACAGGAGGAGGGAGAAGCAGGCUCCAUGCUGGGAGCCCGACGUGGGACUCGAUCCCUGGACUCCAGGAUCGCGCUCUGGGCCAAAGGCAGGCGCUAAACCGCUGAGCCACCCAGGGAUUCCCAACCUUGCCACUUUUUCUCCACGUUUUCCCUCCCACCUCAUACCUCUCAACCCCCCAUUUUUGGUCUGUCUCUGGCUUCUCAUCUCCAAUUGAUAAAUCCUAUGCUUGAUCUGCUUAACACAUGAGAAGUGGAAGCGCAGAAGAUGCCCCCCAACCUCUGGUGGGUUAUUUAGCUUUUGUAAAACCUGGAGUGCCAUUUGCUUUUAGGUACCCAAGAUGGCAGCAGGAGCUUAUCUCUUGAUAAUCACUUCCAUUUCCAUAAGGAAGAACAUUUCAAGGGAGAUUGAGAAAAGAGAAUAUUUCCUUUAUAUCAUUUCUAAGGUUGUAAUGUUGAUGGAAAUUCUUCUGUGGGAUAAGAGGGGAAUGCAAGAAGAAGAGAAAAUAUCCCCAAAGACAUAAAUCCUCAGUUUUAUCAUGUAUGUUUAGAUUUCCACAUCAGUCUUGGUCUGUCUGUCAUUUCUACUUCUCCAGGUUUUUAAAGGGAGGAAAGGACUGGAGUGAAGAGAUGGGUCACUGGAUCCCGUGCCUUUCAGCCCAACGUGCGAUCCCGCUUCACUUCUCCUGUGGCUGGUGGCUCUGAGGAUAAGCGAGGGGAUGCAGGAAGCAGGCAUGGGUUCCUCUACUCUGUAAAGGGGCACAUCUGGGUAGCAGUGAGGGGGCAGGGGUGCACAGGGGCGGUGUGGGGGCAAUGGACUGUGGUCCUGUCUCCUUGCUUGGGCUUUACACUGUGUGAAUCCUGGACCCAUUUGUAUAAUCAGGAAUAAGGAGCAGAGGGAUUCUUUUGUUAGAAAUGUGUUUAUUUUAUAGUGAAUCAAGGAAAGGCAGUCAUGGUCUGCGAUGGCUGUUUGGAACUCGUGAUUCAAGGCAUGGCUCUUCCCAGACUGCUCGCCCUUUUGUAGAAGGUUAAGCUAACAAUGUUUGCUAUCUAGAAUGGGAUAAGUUACCCUUCCCUUAUUGCAGUUUCUUAUUCUCUCUGCCUCAUGUCUUAAAUCUGAAAGAAGAAGAUUGAGAUCCUUUUGAUUGCACCAAAAGUGUGAUUCGAACGGAACGGUACCUCAUAAGCUUCAUUUUCUUUCCCGGUCGGUUGAAAAAUGUUCUGCGUUAUUUUCUAGAAGGGUCAUCAGAGUUGACCAUUUUGUCGAGAUUAUCUAUUUUGAAAACAUUUCAACAUUCAGAACAGCAUGAUGAAUAAUAACUUAGAGCUUGACUCUCAGAGCAGUUUGUGGGUGUGCGUGUGCACACGUGUGUAUGCGUCUUCAUGUGUGUGCACAUGUGUGCUUGC
rnacentral:lncRNA from 1 species